GUGUCCAAUGGAGUUAAAUGGUCCUCCACUUGGUCAACCAACAACUCCAACACCUAUUGAGCAAUCUCAUGCACAAGUGCCCACACAAGAUGACUUUGAUGAUAUAGACAAGCUCACAUUGCUUAGUCUCGGGUUCACUUGAAGUGCUGAAGAUGAUCCAAUUAGGCCGGUGAUACUAGAGGAAAUGAAGAAGAUCAAGAGUGGAAAAGAGCUAGUGGAAGAAGUAAGGAAAAUUGAGAAGAAUAUCAAUGCCGGGUGCACUAUCUCAUCCCUCCUUGAGCUGAGUGUUGCUAGGAUAUCCCUUGAGGUGUGUGAGGUUUCAACACUGUCACAUUCAGCUGAGCAAGGUAGCGAGAGUCCAGAGGAAGAGACACUUCAGAUCCAAGAAGAAAUACUUGAAGACAAGGAACAAGAUGAUCCAGAGCUGCAAUUCCCAAGUGAUCAAGAUGAAGACAAAAGAUCUACUACUCUUGAAGAAGUAAAAGAAGCUUCUGUAGAUGAACUUGAAGAACCAGAAAUUCAUUUGCCUAUUGUCAUACAAGAGCGUGAUGAGUCAGGUUCGAGGUGACAUCCCUUGGGACCCCGGUGGAUUCAAGGCAUGGUGACGAGGAGAAGAAAGGAGCACACAUAUGGAAGAGAGAAGCUGGAGCAUUCUUGUGGAAGCAAAAGGAGAAGAGCUGUAGUUUAGAGAGUGUCGAGCGAGUGCUACAGCAAAGCUCGGUGAGCUGUUUCAUGACCCCAAUCUUAAUAUAUCAUCCAUUGAUACAUGCUGAAAUUAAAUUGCUAUUUGGGUUGCUUGUGCCAUUUCUUAAAUGUUGUCCCACAGAUAUUCACCUUUGGCAUCGUGCUUGAUGUGAAUUUUUGAACUUGAUUUCUGAAUGCCUUGUAAACUAGUGAUCUACACCAUGCGUGCUUGGCUGAAAUUAGUGAGAACUAUUAGUUUUGAGUGCUCAAAUCCCUAGUACACUAGAAAACUUCAUCAUUUUCUGCAUUUACUAUGAUACACCUAGAUCACCAUGUUUAGAUGCUGAAUUUGUGCGAAGUGUGUUCCCAUUGAGAGCAAUCACCUAACCACUAUGGAUUAGCAUGCUAUGUUCCCUGGAUCGAUAGCAUGUGAACCAGACAUGGAGAAGUGAGGAUUCCUUUUUUUUUGUGAUUAUGUGUUGUUCAUUAAAUAUAUAUAUAUAUAUAUAUAUAUAUUAUAAUUAAUAAUUAUUUGAUCUUACCUAACAGUAGCAUGUCAUGUUCCCUGGAUCGGUGGCUUGUGAAAUCUGGUUGGAUCAGAUAGGAGUUAAUUAUAUUAAAAAAUUAAUUGUCGAACCAGGUGUAUACCAUGUUCUCGGGACCGGUGGUAUGUUCCUUUGGGGAGACAAACAUAAAAACAAAAAAAUUGGUCGAGCCAGGUGUAUACCAUGUUCUCGGGAUCGGUGGUAUGUUCCUUUGGUGAGACCGGUAAAAUAUUAUCAUUACUUCCUUCAAAUUCAAUAGGUGCUUCAACCAUAAUGUUAUGUUUCGGGUAAUAAGUUUUUUUGGGAUCAUGCUCUCUUUAGGAACCCUUUGGCGCAAUCAGCAUUUGAACUUGUUGAUCCACUUUUAUCUUUGUAAAAGUUUAAAAUGAUUGAGUUUACUAGUGUCCUAUUGCUCUGUAGCACUCUUAACCAUUGAUUUUCACUAGCUAAGUCGAAAGCAUGCAUUGUUUAGAGAUCUACUUCACUUGGACAUUCUCUAGCCAGCUCACUAUUCACUAUCCUGCUCUUGUCAUAUUCCUUUGCUUGAGGACAAGCAAAGAUUUAAGUGUGGGGGAACUUGAUAAGCACAUUUCAUAUACAUCUUUUGGCACUCAAAUAUGCGGUUUAUUGAGAUAUGACCAUCAAUUCUUGUUGUGAAAUAUUGAAUAUUUGCAUGAAAAUCGUAUAAAGGAUCAUUUACUAGUCUUUGCUCUAUUUUGCAGAAGUGUGCGCAAAGGCACUAUAAAUCUUCAAGUUCCUGUCCAUUGGGCAACCGAGAUGAGCAUAUGAAAGAAGAGAAGGAAGAGGGACUUGCGUGUGAUGAAUAUCAAAGCUUCAAGGGCUAGAAAGAAAGAGUGGAGGGAUCAACUUGUGAAGUAGGCAGAGAAGUAGAAGGGCCGAAGUGCAAAAGUGCAGAUCUAAGGAGAGGGUCAAAAUCCCUAGCAGCAGCCAUGAUCCCCUUUCAGGCCUGGCAUCUCCAUUCCCCUUACCCCACCUUCUCCACCACCGGUCGCCGCCGCGGCCAGGCCGGCGCGGCGGUGUGCCAACCAGCGCCACCCAUCCUCGUCAUCUCCAUCACCCGCCGCUGCACCAUCCACCAUCAUCCAUCCAUAUCGCCGCCACCAUUGCUGCAUCACCAUCACCAUCUCUAGCGCCACCCACCAGCGCCGCCAUUCGCGCGACCCGCCAUACGGGCGUCUGGUUCCCCGUGCGACCAUCACCUCAUCUCCCUUGCUUCACCAUCUCCCUGUUGCUGCUCUUCUUCUUCUUCCCCUUGCUGUUGUUGCCUCCUGUCCGUUGCAUCUCCCUUAGCGCUGCUGCUGCUUCUCUCUUCUGCGUCCCCUGCUGCUCCUAACUUUCUCAAUCUCUGCCGCUUCUUCUCCGGGACCCCUUGAUGCUGCUUCUCUCUGAACCGAGUUGCUGCUCCUCCUUCUUGCUUCGUCCUGCUGCUUAUUUUCUUUCCCUCGCCUUCCUCAACUGCUGCCGUUCCUUCUUCCUAUGCACCCCUACUGCCCCUCUCUCUCGCAACUCCUGCUGCUGCUCUUCUUCCUCUUCUCCUCACCUUGAUGCUACUCUGAAUCUUAACUUGUUGCCGCCACUUCUUCUUCUCUGAACCCAACGCUGCUAGCUGCUCCUCCUAGUGUCGCUUCUCUUCUGCCCAACAAAACUGCUGUUGCUCUCUUUAUUUCUCUUCAUCCCUCUCUUUCUAUGCGUGUGUGUGUACUUUCUGUGAGUUAUUAGUGGAUGCUAGAUCAACUAUAUUAUAUUCUGAAUUAGUAUUAUUUGUGUCUGUAUGUCAGUUAGUUUACUUUAAUAAUUCAGAUCACCUGUGAUCUUUGUAUUGAAUGUGCUUUCAGUGUUCUUGAGAAGUGUAAAACUGUUCAACGUUCAGUUACAAUUUCUGAAACUUCUAUGAUUCAGUGGUGUCUCUAUGUCAUAUAUUUA